rnacentral:tRNA from 1 species
GCCGGGAUAGCUCAGCUGGUAGAGCAGCGCAUUCGUAAUGCGCGGGUCGUAGGUUCGAAUCCUAUUCCCGGC